rnacentral:rRNA from 2 species
GACGAACGCUGGCGGUGUGCUUAACACAUGCAAGUCGAACGGUAAGGCCCUUUCGGGGGUACACGAGUGGCGAACGGGUGAGUAACACGUGAGUAACCUGCCCUCAUCUCUGGGAUAACAGUCGGAAACGGUUGCUAAUACUGGAUAUGAGCUUGCAAGGCAUCUUGUGGGUUGGAAAGAUAUUUUUUGGUUGGGGAUGGACUCGCGGCCUAUCAGCUUGUUGGUGAGGUAGUGGCUCACCAAGGCUUCGACGGGUAGCCGGCCUGAGAGGGCGACCGGCCACAUUGGGACUGAGAUACGGCCCAGACUCCUACGGGAGGCAGCAGUGGGGAAUAUUGCACAAUGGACGGAAGUCUGAUGCAGCAACGCCGCGUGCGGGAUGACGGCCUUCGGGUUGUAAACCGCUUUCA